AUAAAAACCAAGGAAGAGUAUGUAUAUUGUUUUACAGCAGCACUGCCCAACCUAGCCUCCUAGGAAAGCCAGAGAAGUUACUCUAGAGGCAAAGGAGGUGUACAUGCUGUGCUCCCUGUCACGUGACCAAGACUGCUGCACAUCCAACAGCAUCUGAUUUAUUGGAUGCCUGGGCAAAGAUCUGUUCCGCACUGUGAAGCGCGUUUACCAACACUUCCAAGUAUCACCUGUCAAAUAUUAAGACUACUGAAAAACAA